rnacentral:rRNA from 1 species
AGUGAACGCUGGCGGUAGGCCUAACACAUGCAAGUCGAACGACAGCACAGUAAGAGCUUGCUCUUACGGGUGGCGAGUGGCGGACGGGUGAGGAAUACAUCGGAAUCUACUUUUUCGUGGGGGAUAACGUAGGGAAACUUACGCUAAUACCGCAUACGACCUACGGGUGAAAGCAGGGGAUCUUCGGACCUUGCGCGAUUGAAUGAGCCGAUGCCGGAUUAGCUAGUUGGCGGGGUAAAGGCCCACCAAGGCGACGAUCCGUAGCUGGUCUGAGAGGAUGAUCAGCCACACUGGAACUGAGACACGGUCCAGACUCCUACGGGAGGCAGCAGUGGGGAAUAUUGGACAAUGGGCGAAAGCCUGAUCCAGCCAUACCGCGUGGGUGAAGAAGGCCUUCGGGUUGUAAAGCCCUUUUGUUGGGAAAGAAAAGCAGCAGGUUAAUACCCCGCUGUUCUGACGGUACCCAAAGAGUAAGCACCGGCUAACUUCGUG